UGUUGUUGCAUUAGUAAUUGAACUUAGUACGAGAGGAACCGUUCAUUCGGAUAAUUGGUAUUUGGGCCUGCCUGAGCAGGCAAUGGCCCGAAGCUAUCAUCCGUUGGCUUGUAGCUGAAUAUCUCUAAUUCAGAACCCGUGCUAGAACACGACGAUUACCACCUUGGCCAUUUUAGUUGAAUACAAAUAGACCUACGGUCCAGAAUCAUACGAACGUGGGGUUAUGUUGGAGAGCGGAGAGGCUCUGUGAUAUUCCCACUAAUGUUAAUUUCAAAUAUUGUCAAGGAUAAAGCCAUUGCAGAUGGCUUUAAUUGAACGGGGUAUUGUAAGCAGUAGAGUAGCCUUGUUGCUACGAUCUGCUGAGAUUAAGCCCAUUGUUCUAUGGAUUU
rnacentral:ncRNA from 1 species